GAUGAACGCUAGCGGCAGGCUUAACACAUGCAAGUCGAGGGGUAGAGGAAGCUUGCUUCCUUGAGACCGGCGCACGGGUGCGUAACGCGUAUACAAUCUACCUUUUACAGAGGGAUAGCCCCAGAGAAAUUUGGAUUAAUACCUCAUAGUAUUUUCGGAUCGCAUGAUUUGAUUAUUAAAGUUCCAACGGUAAAAGAUGAGUAUGCGUCCCAUUAGCUAGAUGGUAAGGUAACGGCUUACCAUGGCAAUGAUGGGUAGGGGUCCUGAGAGGGAGAUCCCCCACACUGGUACUGAGACACGGACCAGACUCCUACGGGAGGCAGCAGUGGGGAAUUUUGGACAAUGGGCGCAAGCCUGAUCCAGCAAUGCCGCGUGCAGGAUGAAGGCCUUCGGGUUGUAAACUAGCUUUGUUACGGAACGAAACGGUAGAGCUCUAAUACUAGUUAGUCGUAAUGUAACGGUACCGUUAA
rnacentral:rRNA from 1 species